rnacentral:rRNA from 1 species
GCUUGCUACUUAACCUAGCGGCGGACGGGUGAGUAAUGCUUAGGAAUCUGCCUAUUAGUGGGGGACAACAUCUCGAAAGGGAUGCUAAUACCGCAUACGUCCUACGGGAGAAAGCAGGGGACCUUCGGGCCUUGCGCUAAUAGAUGAGCCUAAGUCGGAUUAGCUAGUUGGUGGGGUAAAGGCCUACCAAGGCGACGAUCUGUAGCGGGUCUGAGAGGAUGAUCCGCCACACUGGGACUGAGACACGGCCCAGACUCCUACGGGAGGCAGCAGUGGGGAAUAUUGGACAAUGGGGGGAACCCUGAUCCAGCCAUACCGCGUGUGUGAAGAAGGCCUUUUGGUUGUAAAGCACUUUAAGCGAGGAGGAGGCUACCGAGAUUAAUACUCUUGGAUAGUGGACGUUACUCGCAGAAUAAGCACCGGCUAACUCUGUGCCAGCAGCCGCGGUAAUACAGAGGGUGCAAGCGUUAAUCGGAUUUACUGGGCGUAAAGCGCGCGUAGGUGGCCAAUUAAGUCAAAUGUGAAAUCCCCGAGCCUAACUUGGGAAUUGCAUUCGAUACUGGUUGGCUAGAGUAUGGGAGAGGAUGGUAGAAUUCCAGGUGUAGCGGUGAAAUGCGUAGAGAUCUGGAGGAAUACCGAUGGCGAAGCAGCCAUCUGGCCUAAUACUGACACUGAGGUGCGAAAGCAUGGGGAGCAAACAGGAUUUGAUACCCUGGUAGUCCAUGCCGUAA